UCAUCUUCGGGGGUAGAGCACUGUUUCGGCUAGGGGGUCAUCCCGACUUACCAACCCGAUGCAAACUACGAAUACCGAAGAAUGUUAUCACGGGAGACACACGGCGGGUGCUAACGUCCGUCGUGAAGAGGGAAACAACCCAGACCGCCAGCUAAGGUCCCAAAGUCAUGGUUAAGUGGGAAACGAUGUGGGAAGGCACAGACAGCCAGGAUGUUGGCUUAGAAGCAGCCAUCAUUUAAAGAAAGCGUAAUAGCUCACUGGUCGAGUCGGCCUGCGCGGAAGAUGUAACGGGGCUAAACCAUGCACCGAAGCUGCGGCAGCGACACUAUGUGUUGUUGGGUAGGGGAGCGUUCUGUAAGCCUGCGAAGGUGACCUGUGAGGGUUGCUGGAGGUAUCAGAAGUGCGAAUGCUGACAUAAGUAACGAUAAAGCGGGUGAAAAGCCCGCUCGCCGGAAGACCAAGGGUUCCUGUCCAACGUUAAUCGGGGCAGGGUGAGUCGACCCCUAAGGCGAGGCCGAAAGGCGUAGUCGAUGGGAAACAGGUUAAUAUUCCUGUACUUGGUGUUACUGCGAAGGGGGGACGGAGAAGGCUAUGUUAGCCGGGCGACGGUUGUCCCGGUUUAAGCAUGUAGGCUGGUUGUCCAGGCAAAUCCGGAUAAUCAAGGCUGAGGUGUGAUGACGAGGCACUACGGUGCUGAAGUAACAAAUGCCCUGCUUCCAGGAAAAGCCUCUAAGCAUCAGGUAACAUCAAAUCGUACCCCAAACCGACACAGGUGGUCAGGUAGAGAAUACCAAGGCGCUUGAGAGAACUCGGGUGAAGGAACUAGGCAAAAUGGUGCCGUAACUUCGGGAGAAGGCACGCUGGUGUGUAGGUGAAGUCCCUGCGGAUGGAGCUGAGACCAGUCGAAGAUACCAGCUGGCUGCAACUGUUUAUUAAAAACACAGCACUGUGCAAACACGAAAGUGGACGUAUACGGUGUGACGCCUGCCCGGUGCCGG
rnacentral:rRNA from 1 species